ensembl:snRNA U6 U6 spliceosomal RNA
GUACUUACUGUGGCAGUACAUAUUCCAAAAUCAGAACAGUACUGAGAUUAGCAAGGCCCCCACAUAAGAAUGACACUCAAAUUCAUGAAACAUUCUAUAUUUUU